rnacentral:rRNA from 1 species
AUACGUAGGGAGCGAGCGUUGUCCGGAAUUACUGGGUGUAAAGGGAGCGUAGGCGGGAGUGCAAGUCAGAUGUGAAAUACAUGGGCUCAACCCAUGGGCUGCAUUUGAAACUGCAUUUCUUGAGUGAAGUAGAGGUAAGCGGAAUUCCUGGUGUAGCGGUGAAAUGCGUAGAUAUCAGGAGGAACACCGGUGGCGAAGGCGGCUUACUGGGCUAUUACUGACGCUGAGGCUCGAAAGCGUGGGGAGCAAACAGGAUUAGAUACCCUGGUAGUCCACGCUGUAAACGAUGAUUACUAGGUGUGGGGGGACUGACCCCUUCCGUGCCGCAGUUAACACAAUAAGUAAUCCACCUGGGGAGUACGGCCGCAAGGUUGAAACUCAAAUGAAUUGACGGGG